UAUAUACUUCCUCCGUCCCAAAAUUCUUGUCAUAGAUUUGUCUUCAAAUGAAUGUAUCUAAAUACUAAAAUGAGACUAGAUACGUUCAUAUCUACAUAAAUAUAAGACAAGAAUUUUAGGACGGAGGGAGUAUGCG
rfam:Hordeum vulgare subsp. vulgare, WGS project CAJW01000000 data, contig: morex_contig_1571631